ensembl:lncRNA
CUCCAGCUCCGGGUUCGUCCUUCCCGAACCCAGCGAACCCAACGAACCCAACGGUGCCCAGGCGUCUCGCGCCGUCGGUUAAGCGGCUCUUUGGUCAGCAGAGGCUGGGCUGCGGUCCUUUCCGCCGCCCCGGGACCAGGAAAGGGAGCGAUGAAGGCGCCGGCGCCCCGCCGCUCGGGCCUUCCACCCGCGACUCCAGCUCAGGGUCCCCGAACACUUCGGGCCACCAGGAGACCUGGCCGUCGGGAGUGUUAAAAGCGCCCCGGCCUCUCGGAAAGUGCGACCAAAGCCGACAGCGACUGGUGUCGAGGAAGAAGGGGGUCGUUUCAGGCUGUGUCAUGGAAGCAGUUUUCUCGAGUAGGAAAGACGAAUCUUACAGACCGUCUCGUGACCGCGCCUCCGCUCUGCCCAGCGUUCACUCUACAAUUGCAGUGAGCACCUGUUAUGUGCAACGAUCACAGAGAUGAGGCCGACCAGAGCCUUACUGUCGAGGAACUGGACAAACAAGAACCCACAGAGGCCCCAGGCUGCUAAAAUACAUCCCAGAGGUCGACAAAGGCGGUGCCUGGUUAAAAAGCAGCCAGAGGGAUGCAGAGCUCAUCAGGUUCUUAAAGACAGUUCCUGGGCGCUCUGAGCGCCUGGCUUCCCGGGAAGGCGUCUGGGCUGCUGCAGUCCCCCUGCCGUGAGGGCUUCAGGGCCUCCGAGGACACAUGCCGACGGUACCCAGGUGAGCCCCGGGGAGGCAGGAGGAGAGCCGCAGGAGGCAUGGGGGUCCGCACCCCGUCUCUGACCCCCUGCGCACAGACCGGCCUGCUGGUCCUGACUCGGAUGGGUAAACAGGGACCGCUGCCCCGUGGACACCGCUGAGGGGCAGGGGAGCCCCUAGUGCAGGAGCGCAGGGUCCGCUGGUUGUGCUUGGCCCAGGUCAGGAGGGAGAAACACACUUCUCCUGCGAGCUGGCACGUGGGCACAGAUGGGACCCUCACCACUGCAAGUGGGCCGCAAAGCUAGAAGCCCUGGCGGAGCCCAGCUCUGCGCGUUUUGUGCGUUUCCUCGCACUUUCCCGUGGACCCAGUCUGUAGCCAGGCCUCCCCACCAGGCCCCUCCGCAGGCCAAGGAGGGUCCAGGGUGGAGGGGCAGGAGGCACCCCCUGCUUUGGAGAAGCUGAAAACGAGUCUCAGGGGGCAGCCUGCACCCUGUAAGCAGGAGGAGGGCAGAUGAUUGUACCACGUGCAGGGGAGUGGGGGUUUGCCCUUAAGGAAAAUGUGAUUUUAGAGGAGCAGACACUUCUUGAGCAUUAGUGUCUGAGAAACAAACGCCAUGGGAGAAGAACAGGAAAGCUGGGGGUUUGAGAAAAGGUGCGGUGGCCUCUGACAGCAGGCUCCUGAAGGAAGGCUUCCUGGAGGAGGUGGCCUGGGAGCCCUGCAGGAUGGGUGGAGGACUUUCCUGUGGGAAUCUGGUCCCCACGGCUGGAGAACCAGGAGGGUCCGAGGAGGGGGGCCGGAAUAGAGCACAAGGGCCCCUCCCUUGGGGGGGUAGGCUUGGGGGCGCCCUCCUGGAGCCUCCUCACCUCCCUCCCGCCUCCUGUCGGCCUCCCUGCAUUACCUCUCCUCCUCCAGCAGCUUCCUGGAGCAGCUCCCUGGCAGCUGGAAGGCUGGGCAGACUCCCACGCGGUCCAGUCCCCACGCGCCCCCUGCCUUCCCUGGGUCCUGGAGCAGGGAGCUCACAGCACAGAGGAUGAGACAGCGGUCUGUUGUCCCAGCGCAUGGCAGCACCACGCAGCUCUGUUAUCUCAGUUUCUGGGGGUCGGGGAUGGAGCCAAGACCAGCAGGGCCUUCGGCCUCGAGGUCUCGCGAGGCUGCACCUGGGUGUCGGUAGGGACUGUGGCCUGUGCACAGGCUCCACCUGGAGGGUCCAGGCACACUCACGUUGGCAGGAUUCGGUUCCUCACAAGCUACUGGGGGAGCGUCAUCCUUUUCUGCAUUUUGCUGGAGGGCUCACUCCGUUUUUGGCCACAUGGGCCUCUUCAGAGCGCACCUCCCCGGGGGGCAGGGCCCCGUGACCCCUGUCUGCAAUGGCAGCUUGUCCCUCUGUGCUGUUAGAUUCCACUUACCCUGGGGGCCCUUGCAGGGUGCUCGUCCAGUGGGGGCCCCUGGGGGCGACACCCCUGCCCCACUCUGCGCUCUUCCUACCGUCCCCCAGGCCUGGGUCUCCAGAGAUGGUCAUACUGUGUCCAGUGUGACAACUGUGUGUUUUUCUCUCGUUUUGGAAACUGUAGCCUGGGCUGUCGCGCCCUGAGCUAGAUGUACCCAGAGAGUUGUAGGGUGCGCUGUGGUCACUGUUCUGUCCACGCCGCCCCUGCGACAGCCCUCCCUGAGCCUCUGCUUACGAGGCUUUCCAACCUCCUCCGGGACAUGGAGCCACUUUCCUUAUGCUCAGGAGUUGUUUGCAUUUUUAUCAGAGCAGGAUCAGGUGCGUCCCCCCCCCCCCCCCCCCGUCUCCGUGGAGUGGAGG